rnacentral:rRNA from 1 species
UACGUAGGGGGCAAGCGUUGUCCGGAUUUAUUGGGCGUAAAGAGCGUGUAGGCGGCCAGGUAGGUCCGUUGUGAAAACUCGAGGCUCAACCUCGAGACGUCGGCGGAAACCCUCUGGCUAGAGUCCGGAAGAGGAGAGUGGAAUUCCUGGUGUAGCGGUGAAAUGCGCAGAUAUCGUAAGGAAGACCAGUGGCGAAGGCGGGUCUCUGGACAGUUCCUGACGCUGAGGCACGAAGGUCAGGGGAGCAAACGGG